AGCGAACGCUGGCGGCAGGCCUAAUACAUGCAAGUCGAGCGCACCUUCGGGUGAGCGGCGGACGGGUGAGUAACGCGUGGGAACGUGCCCUUUGGUUCGGAACAACACAGGGAAACUUGUGCUAAUACCGAAUGUGCCCUUCGGGGGAAAGAUUUAUCGCCAUUGGAGCGGCCCGCGUUGGAUUAGGUAGUUGGUGGGGUAAAGGCCCACCAAGCCGACGAUCCAUAGCUGGUCUGAGAGGAUGAUCAGCCACACUGGGACUGAGACACGGCCCAGACUCCUACGGGAGGCAGCAGUAGGGAAUCUUGCGCAAUGGGCGAAAGCCUGACGCAGCCAUGCCGCGUGAAUGAUGAGGGUCUUAGGAUUGUAAAAUUCUUUCACCGGGGAAGAUAAUGACGGUACCCGGAGAAGAAGCCCCGGCUAACUUCGUGCCAGCAGCCGCGGUAAUACGAAGGGGGCUAGCGUUGCUCGGAAUUACUGGGCGUAAAGGGCGCGUAGGCGGAUAGUUUAGUCAGAGGUGAAAGCCCAGGGCUCAACCUUGGAACUGCCUUUGAUACUGGCUAUCUUGAGUUCGGGAGAGGUGAGUGGAAUGCCGAGUGUAGAGGUGAAAUUCGUAGAUAUUCGGCGGAACACCAGUGGCGAAGGCGACUCACUGGCCCGAUACUGACGCUGAGGCGCCAAAGCGUGGGGAGCAAACAG
rnacentral:rRNA from 1 species